rnacentral:rRNA from 1 species
CUAGGAUGAACGCUAGCGACAGGCCUAACACAUGCAAGUCGAGGGGCAGCACAAGGAGCAAUCUGAGGUGGCGACCGGCGCACGGGUGAGUAACACGUAUGCAACCUGCCUGUAAGCGGGGAAUAACCCGUUGAAAGACGGACUAAUACCGCAUAAUACUAAAUUACUGCAUGGUAAUUUAUUUAAACAUUUAUGGCUUACAGAUGGGCAUGCGCAUGAUUAGCUAGUUGGAGAGGUAACGGCUCCCCAAGGCAACGAUCAUUAGGGGUUCUGAGAGGAAGGUCCCCCACACUGGUACUGAGACACGGACCAGACUCCUACGGGAGGCAGCAGUGAGGAAUAUUGGUCAAUGGACGAGAGUCUGAACCAGCCAAGUCGCGUGCAGGAAGAAUGUCCUAUGGAUUGUAAACUGCUCUUGCAGGGGAAUAAAGUGCAUCACGUGUGAUGUUUUGUAUGUACUCUGCGAAUAAGGAUCGGCUAACUCCGUGCCAGCAGCCGC